rnacentral:rRNA from 1 species
GGAUCAAAUCAAGCGCGAAAAGGGCGUUUGGUGAAUGCCUUGGCAGUAAGAGGCGAUGAAAGACGUGAUACUCUGCGAUAAGUCAUGGGGAGCUGAGAAUAAGCUUUGAUCCAUGAAUUUCUGAAUGGGGGAACCCACCUGACAGUUCUCUAUUGAUAGCUUACGCUAUCACUAGGGAGUUGAACCAGGUACUUUUAGACUGAAUACAUAGGUUUAAAAGAGCAAACCCGGGGAACUGAAACAUCUAAGUACCCGGAGGAAAGGAAAUCAAUAGAUACUCCCCUAGUAGCGGCGAGCGAACGGGGACCAGCCGAGCUGUGAGUGUGAUUAGAAUGGUCUGGAAUGGCCAACCAUAGUGGGUGACAGUCCCGUAUAAGAAGCAUGAUCAGACGUAUUAAGUAGGGCGGAACACGUGAAAUUCUGUCUGAACAUCGGAGGACCACCUUCGAAGGCUAAGUACUCCUUACUGACCGAUAGUGAACCAGUACCGUGAGGGAAAGGUGAAAAGCACCCCGACGAGGGGAGUGAAACAGUACCUGAAACCGAACGCCUACAAUCAGUUGGAGGGCCCUUGCGGCCUGACAGCGUACCUUUUGUAUAAUGGGUCAUCGACUUGGUCUAUCUAGCAAGCUUAAGCCGCUAGGUGUAGGCGCAGCGAAAGCGAGUCUUAAUAGGGCGAAUGAGUUAGGUGGAUCAGACCCGAAACCGAGUGAUCUAGGCAUGACCAGGAUGAAGGUUAGGUAACACUAACUGGAGGUCCGAACCCACAUCUGUUGAAAAAGAUCGGGAUGAGUUGUGCCUAGGGGUGAAAGGCCAAUCAAACUCGGAGAUAGCUGGUUCUCUGCGAAAUCUAUUUAGGUAGAGCGUCAUCCGAAUACCCCGGGGGGUAGAGCACUGGAUGGGUAAUGGGGCCUUACCGGCUUACUGAUCCUAACCAAACUCCGAAUACCCGGGAGUACUAGAUGGCAGACACACUGCGGAUGCUAACGUCCGUAGUGGAGAGGGAAACAACCCUGACCUACGACUAAGGCCCCUAAUUCAUGGCUAAGUGGGAAAGCAGGUGGGACGACCAAAACAACCAGGAGGUUGGCUUAGAAGCAGCCAUCCUUUAAAGAUAGCGUAACAGCUCACUGGUCUAAUUAAGUUGUCCUGCGGCGAAGAUGUAACGGGGCUCAAGCCAUGAGCCGAAGUCUAGGAUGCAUUUAUUGCAUGGUAGCAGAGCGUAGUGUGACAUAGUACCUUUCCUCUUUAGCACUCUUCGGAAUGCCUUGGAGGAUAUGGUGCUUUCUGUGAAGCUGGCGCGUGAGCGAUCCGGUGGAGAGAUCACUAGUGAGAAUGAUGACAUGAGUAGCGACAAAGAGUGUGAGAGACACUCUCGCCGAAAGUCCAAGGGUUCCUGCUUAAAGCUAAUCUGAGCAGGGUAAGCCGACCCCUAAGGCGAGGCCGAAAGGCGUAGUCGAUGGGAACCAGGUUAAUAUUCCUGGGCCAGAUGGAAGUGACGGAUCUCGAGGGUAGUUCAUCCUUAUUGGAUUGAAUGGGCUGCUUAGAGGUUCCUGGAAAUAGCUCCAUCGCUAGAUCGUACCCUAAACCGACACAGGUGGACUGGUAGAGAAUACCAAGGCGCUUGAGAGAACUAUGUUGAAGGAACUCGGCAAAAUACCUCCGUAAGUUCGCGAGAAGGAGGCCCAGUUUCUACGCAAGUAUUGACUGGGGGCACAAACCAGGGGGUGGCGACUGUUUACUAAAAACACAGGGCUCUGCGAAGUCGCAAGACGACGUAUAGGGUCUGACGCCUGCCCGGUGCCUGAAGGUUAAAAGGAGGGGUGAGAGCUCCGAAUUGAAGCCCAGGUAAACGGCGGCCGUAACUAUAACGGUCCUAAGGUA